AGAUUGAACGCUGGCGGCAUGCCUUACACAUGCAAGUCGAACGGCAGCACGGGAGCAAUCCUGGUGGCGAGUGGCGAACGGGUGAGUAAUACAUCGGAACGUGCCCAAUCGUGGGGGAUAACGCAGCGAAAGCUGUGCUAAUACCGCAUAAGAUCUACGGAUGAAAGCAGGGGAUCGCAAGACCUUGCGCGAAUGGAGCGGCCGAUGGCAGAUUAGGUAGUUGGUGAGGUAAAGGCUCACCAAGCCUUCGAUCUGUAGCUGGUCUGAGAGGACGACCAGCCACACUGGGACUGAGACACGGCCCAGACUCCUACGGGAGCAGCAGUGGGGAAUUUGGACAAUGGGCGAAAGCCUGAUCCAGCCAUGCCGCGUGCAGGAUGAAGCCGUUCGGUUAGUUAAACUGUACGUUUGUAACGGAACGUAAAGUCUACUUUCUAACGUAAAGAGGAUAC
rnacentral:rRNA from 1 species